AAUAUUUUUUUUGUAAUGAGUGAAAGCCUGGCAAAUUAACGAGGUAGAAGGCCUACAAAUUAACUUCUUUUCCCGGAGAAGAAGCAAUAGGAAUAAGUAUUGCCUAAUUCUGUGCCAGCAACUGCGAUAAUAUAAAAAGAUGCGAGCGUUAUCUGAAAUGAUUGGGUGUAAAACGUAUAUAGAUGGCUUUUUUAAGUCCACCGUCAAAUUCCAGAGCUCGAUCCUGGAUAGACGGUGGAACUGCAAGUUAGAAUACAGUAGGGGCAAAGGAAAUUUUUGGUGGAGUGAUGAAAUGUGUAAAGAUCGGAAAGAACACCAACAACGAAAGCACUCUAUUAGAUCGGCACUUGUACAAGAUAUAUACACC
rnacentral:ncRNA from 1 species